GUGGAUACGACUAACUCCAACCCAAUGUGAACGUUACCAAACUGUUGCCUCGGCGGGAUCUCUGCCCCGGGUGCGUCGCAGCCCCGGACCAAGGCGCCCGCCGGAGGACCAACCAAAACUCUUUUUGUAUACCCCCUCGCGGGUUUUUUAUAAUCUGAGCCUUCUCGGCGCCUCUCGUAGGCGUUUCGAAAAUGAAUCAAAACUUUCAACAACGGAUCUCUUGGUUCUGGCAUCGAUGAAGAACGCAGCGAAAUGCGAUAAGUAAUGUGAAUUGCAGAAUUCAGUGAAUCAUCGAAUCUUUGAACGCACAUUGCGCCCGCCAGUAUUCUGGCGGGCAUGCCUGUCCGAGCGUCAUUUCAACCCUCGAACCCCUCCGGGGGGUCGGCGUUGGGGAUCGGCCCUGCCUCUUGGCGGUGGCCGUCUCCGAAAUACAGUGGCGGUCUCGCCGCAGCCUCUCCUGCGCAGUAGUUUGCACACUCGCAUCGGGAGCGCGGCGCGUCCACAGCCGUUAAACACCCAACUUCUGAAAUGUUGACCUCGGAUCAGGUAGGAAUACCCGCUGAACUUAAGCAUAUCAA
rnacentral:rRNA from 1 species